GACGAACGCUGGCGGCGUGCUUAACACAUGCAAGUCGAACGAUGAAGCCCAGCUUGCUGGGUGGAUUAGUGGCGAACGGGUGAGUAACACGUGGGCAACCUGCCCCAAACUCUGGGAUAACUCCUCGAAAGAGGUGCUAAUACCGGAUACGAACUAGACAGACAUCUGUACUAGUUGGAAAGUUUUUCGGUUUGGGAUGGGCCCGCGGCCUAUCAGCUUGUUGGUGAGGUAACGGCUCACCAAGGCUACGACGGGUAACCGGCCUGAAAGGGCGACCGGUCACACUGGGACUGGGACACGGCCCAGACUCCUACGGGAGGCAGCAGUGGGGAAUAUUGCGCAAUGGGCGAAAGCCUGACGCAGCGACGCCGCGUGAGGGAUGAAGGUCUUCGGAUCGUAAACCUCUUUCAGUAGGGACGAAGCGAAAGUGACGGUACCUAAAGAAGAAGCACCGGCUAACUACGUGCCAGCCGCCGCCGUAA
rnacentral:rRNA from 1 species